GUGAACGCUGGCGGUAGGCCUAACACAUGCCAGUCGCACGGCAGCACAGUAAGAGCUUGCUCUUACGGGUGGCGAGUGGCGGACGGGUGAGGAAUACAUCGGAAUCUACUUUUUCGUGGGGGAUAACGUAGGGAAACUUACGCUAAUACCGCAUACGACCUACGGGUGAAAGCAGGGGAUCUUCGGACCUUGCGCGAUUGAAUGAGCCGAUGUCGGAUUAGCUAGUUGGCGGGGUAAAGGCCCACCAAGGCGACGAUCCGUAGCUGGUCUGAGAGGAUGAUCAGCCACACUGGAACUGAGACACGGUCCAGACUCCUACGGGAGGCAGCAGUGGGGAAUAUUGGACAAUGGGCGCAAGCCUGAUCCAGCCAUACCGCGUGGGUGAAGAAGGCCUUCGGGUUGUAAAGCCCUUUUGUUGGGAAAGAAAAGCAGCAGGUUAAUACCCCGCUGUUCUGACGGUGCCCAAAGAAUAAGCACCGGCUAACUUCGUG
rnacentral:rRNA from 1 species